rnacentral:rRNA from 1 species
UACGUAGGGGGCUAGCGUUGUCCGGAAUCAUUGGGCGUAAAGCGCGUGUAGGCGGUCCGGUAAGUCCGCUGUGAAAGUCGAGGGCUCAACCCUCGAAUGCCGGUGGAUACUGUCGGGCUUGAGUACGGGAGAGGCGAGUGGAAUUCCCGGUGUAGCGGUGAAAUGCGCAGAUAUCGGGAGGAACACCAAUGGCGAAGGCAGCUCGCUGGGACGUUACUGACGCUGAGACGCGAAAGCGUGGGGAGCAAACAGG